AAUGAAGGUCUUUCAAUUUUAUGUGAAUGGAAAGUCAAGUGUAUAACUAAAAUUGUUGCAUGUUGCAUCAUGUGUCGAAGACCAAUUUACACUACACAACUUUUGCCCAAAGCCUGGUUUCCUUAGGGUCGUAACGGUCGUAAAGAUUAAUCCUCAUAAAAUAAUAGGUAAUAAUUCAAAUUUUUUGUUUUAAAAACUUCAAAAAAUAUUCUUACACGUUUAGGGCAGGGCGUUUGGUAGAGGGGGGAACGCUUUAUAGAGGGUCAUUUGAUGAAUGUUAUAUUUCAUUUUACGUAUAGUACUGAAUUUUGUGUUAACUUUAUUUUGUCAAGAGCUUCUUGAAGAGCAAAGACGUAGAAAGGAAGCUCGCUUAAAAGGUAAAGCAAAAAUAAUCUAAUUCCGAUUAUGCUGAUCGGGCAAGGCUGAGGCGGAAAGACUUCGCUGAUGAGAUGUCUUUUAGGAUUACCAAUCCCUCCGCCAUGUCCGUGGCAAUAUAACGACAAACGAACAACAGGAUAAAUGAAAGGGAAUAAAUAAGAAUUCACACGACUGCAUUAAACAUCCUACGAGGAGAAAGACGGUGUCUCUAUUGGUUCUUCUUGAUAUAUUUUAGACCCAAUAUUAGCUGAUAUAUAGAGGAUAUAUUACACGGCGGCGCGAAGAUAUGACUUUUAUCUUAGAGUGGUGAAAACAAUGUUUUACGAACGAGCGCAGAGAGUGAGUAAAAUAUUGUUUUUAACACGAGAAGAUAACAGUCAUAUCUUCAAGCCAUGGUGUAAUGUUCUGUUUAUUAUAUAGUCCCAAGCAAAAAAAAUUGAAAUUUCACGCUCAAAAGCAAAUUGGAAAAAAUCACGUGAUCGAUAUCUUCACUAGUGAAGAAAUGGAAAAUAUCUCACUGUGCAUUUUUCAGUAUCUCACUUUCUACUAUAUAAUAAAAUUAUAUAUAAGUCCGACAUUAA